GGCGAGCAUGCUCUAAUUAAACGUUUGCAGAAGGAACUUGCUGAGGCUAAGAAGGCGCUUAAAGAGUUGGAAGAAUCAAAGAAACAGCCAUCUACUAGUUUUG
rnacentral:ribozyme from 1 species